GAUCACGCGCGUGUAGGAUAACAACUCGCGCCGCAAUGGCGUCUGACCGCCGGUCCUCACCCCUCCCGUUGCCGGACAGUACUUGCCGCGCACCCGCACCCGUUGCCGCGGCCUACGACUAAUAUCAAAGUCCAUAAGUUGCGCUCGAACAUUGGUUCCGGGACACACCUGAUCGCGAAUUCGACAUCGUUCUUGAUUUAACCUGGCACUCAUGCGCUCUGUGGCCGUCGCCGCCUUCUCUUCAGCUUUCUAAGGCCCUUCUUGACGCCUUUGACGACCGAGCUGUAACCGACGGGGUUCGACACCGCCACAACGAACUGAAAAUCACCGUUGUCUUUCUCCCGCCGGAUCUUUCAACUACUGGCAACAGUUAUUAAAGAGAUGUCGUCGUCUUCAAGAUACAGAGAUUCUGGUAAUCCAGAUUGCAAAAUUUAUGUUGGUGAUCUAGGAUCAACUGCGUCAAAACAAGAUUUGGAAGAUGCUUUUUCAUAUUAUGGUUCAAUUCGUAAUGUUUGGGUAGCUCGUAACCCUCCUGGUUUUGCUUUUGUCGAAUUUGAAGAUUCUAGAGAUGCUGAAGAUGCAGUUAGAGGUCUAGAUGGCAGGAGUAUUUGUGGUAGACGAGUCAGAGUAGAGUUAUCUAAUGCUGGAUCACGUAAAGGUUCUUAUCGUGGAGGUCCACCUCGACGAGGACGCCCAUUCCAUCCUGAAGAUAAAUGUUAUGAAUGUGGUGAUAGAGGACAUUAUGCUCGUGAUUGUCGUCGUUUUAAAGGAGGAAGGCGCAGGAUGUUCGGCUGAGAGCGUCUCGUCUCGUAGUGUCGAUCGUCGUAGAGCUCUCAACCAAAAUAAAAUAUAUUGAUCUACUACUACGUGCCAUGUGUGUUAGUCGUCGGACUUCGGCGCAACUAUCUGUCUGUCUGCGUUUAUCGAUGUACUGAGCUACACUAGAACCCCAUCGAGCCCAACCAACCUAAUGAUUUUUAAUCUGAUGCUCUAAUUAGCUAUCGGUGAACGUACACAGACUUUCAAAUACAGAAAGAGUUAUAAAUAUUAUCUGCAUAACGCCACUGGCCGUCUACGUAGCAUUACUACAAUGUCAUUUUAGGAGAAUGUUGAACUUCAUUUUCUUAUGUCAUACACUCCUUCUCGUUCUCGUUCUCGUUCUCGUUCACGAUCAUACAGCCGUGGUCGACGUUCUCGUUCUGAUUCAAGAUCUUUUUC